GCGCCGUGUACUCCCAGGUGGCGUCCCGGUCGAGCAGGGCCUGGUCGCCGAAGUACGCCCCGUCGCCGAGGACUUCGAGCACCGUCUCGUCCCCGUACGGGCCGGUGCCGAUCUUCUCCACCUUGCCGUGCGCGAGCAGGAACACCCGGUCGUCCGUGUCCCCGCUCGUGGCCAGGACCUGGCCGGCGGCGAACUCCUGCUGUUCGCAGCGGUUCGCCAGCUCGGCGAGCACCUCCUGGUCCUCGUAAUCACGCAGUGCAGGCAGUUCCCCGAGCUCGGCGGGGAUGACCGCCACCCGGUCCCCGGUCUGCACGAACGUCACGCGUCCGUCGCCGACCGCAUAGCUGAGCCGCCGGUUCACCCGGUAGGUACCACCCUGCACCUGAACCCACGGCAGCAUCCGCAGCAGCCACCGCGAGGUGAUCUCCUGCAUCUGCGGAACCGAUUUGGUGGUGGUCGCCAGGUUCCGCGCGGCGGCGGUUCCCAGACUCUGCUGGGGCGGCGCCU
rnacentral:antisense_RNA from 1 species